rnacentral:rRNA from 1 species
GACGAACGCUGGCGGCGUGCUUAACACAUGCAAGUCGAACGAAAAGAGGGAAAGAGCUUGCUCUUUCCGGAAUUGAGUGGCAAACGGGUGAGUAACACGUAAACAACCUGCCUUCAGGAUGGGGACAACAGACGGAAACGACUGCUAAUACCGAAUAAGUUCCAAGGGCCGCAUGGCCCAUGGAAGAAAAGGUGGCCUCUACCUGUAAGCUAUCGCCUGAAGAGGGGUUUGCGUCUGAUUAGCUGGUUGGAGGGGUAACGGCCCACCAAGGCGACGAUCAGUAGCCGGUCUGAGAGGAUGAACGGCCACACUGGAAUUGAGACACGGUCCAGACUCCUACGGGAGGCAGCAGGGGGGAAUCUUCCGCAAUGGGCGAAAGCCUGACGGAGCAACGCCGCGUGAGUGAUGACGGCCUUCGGGUUGUAAAACUCUGUGAUCCGGGACGAAAAGGCAGAGUGCGAAGAACAAACUGCAUUGACGGUACCGGAAAAGCAAGCCACGGCUAACUACGUG